GGCCCCUAUGACUCUCUGAGCCGUGACGGCGGAGGCGGCUCGUCUCUUCGGUUCCACGCCGCGCCGUCUCUCUUCUGGAACCCUCUCGUCUCCGCGUGCGGCGGCGCGCGAUUGCUUCUCCCAAUCUCCCCACGGCUCUGGAAUCAGAUCCGGACCGCGAAUUCGAGCGAGCUCGUCGUCGGCUCCUGCGACUCCUAUUCGAGAUGGGGAACACAGCAUCUGUGAAAACUGAGGCUUCAGUUUCCGCGGAGCCACCUGCCACAACAGCUCCUGCACCUGAAACCAAGCCGAAAAAGAAGAUCUGCUGUGCUUGCCCAGAUACAAAGAAGCUGAGAGACAACUGCAUCGUGCAGAAUGGCGAGGAUGCCUGCGGAAAGUUCAUAGAAGCCCACCUGCAGUGCCUGAGAGCUGAAGGGUUCAAUGUCUGACACCUAGCUCUGUCAUGGGAACUCCGCAUCUGUUUCUGCGGUAGUCAGAUUUUGGUCAUAAGGAGCAUGAUGAAUAAGAACUUCUGGUAGAGGGAUAGUGAGAAACUAAGAACUUACUGUUUCAUUUAGAGGCUGCAAAAAACGCCACUGAACAUGGCUGUUUGGAAGAGGGUAUGUGUCUUUUUCCAGUGCAUUCUGCGCCAUGCAUAUCAGCAAUUCUUGAUAAUACUCUAACUUUAUGGGACAUCGUAUACGGAAAUUGCUUGUUUUGGUCCACUGGUUGGAGAGUCAGCACCAAACUGUAUGGAACAAUGGUUUUUACUUUUUAGUUUGCUACUAGCUAGAGUUUUCAAUCACGUGUUCCACUGAUGUAUAAAUGAAGAUAUCACACUCUUACACCGUUGCAAUUUCAUUGCCAGUGGCUGUGACCUC